rnacentral:rRNA from 1 species
UACGUAGGGGGCAAGCGUUGUCCGGAAUCAUUGGGCGUAAAGCGCGUGUAGGCGGCUCGGUAAGUCCGCUCUGAAAGUCCAGGGCUCAACCCUGGGAUGCGGGUGGAGUACUGCCGGGCUCGAGUCCGGAAGAGGCGAGUGGAAUUCCUGGUGUAGCGGUGAAAUGCGCAGAUAUCAGGAGGAACACCGGUGGCGAAGGCGGGAUCUCUGGGCCGGAUGUUGACGCUGGAGGAGCGAAAGCGUGGGAGCGAACAGG